CUCGAGCUCCGGCUCGAUCUCCUGCGGAAGGAUCAUUAC
rnacentral:rRNA from 1 species